rnacentral:misc_RNA from 1 species
AUUGCCAAUACCCCAUUUAUAGGAUGGCCCAUUGCUAACGAGGACAUGCUCUAUCCUCUUGAGUCUUGACAGCCAAGUCUUAUGAUUAUCAACUUCUGAAAUUUGGAUUUGGUGAAAUGGAGGGGCUUCCAUUGCAUACACUGUUUCACUUUCCUCCAGUUCUCCAAUCUCCCAGUAAGAGAUGGAGAGAUGCUAUGACUAUGGAUUUUUAUGGUCAAUUUGCUCCACUAACAGUGAAAAGCUUGCCAAGAAGAGGGCUUUUGAAGGCUAUUGGAUUCAAUACCGUCCUAUUAUGUGUUAGUCCUGUUUUUGCUGCUCCAAUGCCAGAGGUGAAGGAACCUCAAGUUUUCGGUAAAAUGUUGUAUGUUUUAGCUUUAUUUCCUUUCUUUCAAUUCUUUUAUACGUUUUGUUCUUUAAUAAGCUCAGUAUAGUUCUUUGUAAUGCACACACACUACUAGUUCUCAUAUGAGAUUUUGCUUGGGAUUUGAAGUGUACAGGACACUGAAGCUUGAUAGUGGGGUGAGGAUUCAAGGUAUCUAUUUGAAGUGUUCAAUUCAAGUUUGUGAUACAAAGAACGAUUCUAUCUGUAAUUAACUCUUAGGCAGUUUAGUUGUAAGCAUGAUUUAUAAGAGUUGAUAUUGCGAUUUUAAUAUGCAAGAAACAACAACAUGCCAUAUGUUCCCUAGCAUAAUUAGCAUCUUAUUCUUAGAAGUGGAAACUUAAUUUCUGCCUUUUUGUUUUCUAGAUAUUAUUGAAGGAGAAGGUCAAAAAGCUCAAGAAGGAGAUCUUGUUGAAGUAAAUUAUGUAUGCCGCCGCUCAAAUGGAUAUUUUGUCCACAGGUACUUUUACUUCUAUGUUCUAGGGGUUUCUCACUAAUUUACUUGCAUAUUCAGGAAUAGUCUCUGCAGGAUUCAUGCUAUAUAUAGUCUCAUCCUUUGUCAAAUGGAUGGCCCUUUUGAAUUCUAACCGUCCUUAAUACAGCACGGUGGAUCAAUUCAGUGGAGAAAGCUCACCUGUCAUACUUCCUUUGGAUGAGAAUCAGGUAUGUAGGAAAUUUUUGUUUCUUCUCAAGAUUAGAUUCAGCUUUAAGGACAAUUGGUUCACGUUUUGGUGUAUAUCUCUACCGAAUGCUGGGAGCAUUUAAUGUGGCUGGAAAAGAAAGGGAAUGGGAUGUGGGUGCUAGCUAUAUGGGAAUUGUAUAUCAGAGACCAGAGAUCAACUCCUACUCACAGAGGAGAAAGGGUGCCUCCCCAAGCUGUAUCCCUGAAGAAAUAAAAGGGUAAAACAGAAGGGGAAAAGAGAAAACAUUAAUUAUUGUUGGCACUCAUUCCUUUCUUCUUUUAGCUCGAGGCAGACACUUGGUUAUUGAACUACUAAUCAACGGCAUAAAGAUAGUUAUUUUGAUUGUGAAAAAGAAACCUACUUUGUUAAGAAUGUGCGAUCAUCUUUUUCUUAUCAAGAAGAGUGCUUUCAUGUUGUAAAUUGCUCCUUCUGACAGAUUAUCAAGGGCUUGAAGGAGGUUCUAAUUGGCAUGAAGGUUGGAGGGAAGAGAAGAGCAUUGAUUCCACCUUCUGUAGGGUACAUAAAUGAAAACUUGAAGCCAGUCCCUGAAGAGGUUUAUUAAUCAUCUUACCCUUCUUCUUUUCCCUGAAACUUCAUUGAAUCCAACUGAUUCUUUUGUGUCAUCUUUAUUUUGCAUCAUCAUAUUAUAAAUAAUUUAUGUUAUGUUCAUUGGCCUUAAUUGGUUGCAGUUUGGUCCUCGUCGAAGCCUUUUUUCUCAUGCAAAUGAGCCUUUAAUAUUUGAGGUGCAGCUCUUAAAAGUCCUAUGAGUUUUUCUUUGUUAUACAUACCUUGUAAUGAAAUUAGAAUUAUUUUUAUUUUUAUAUCUUUAUUCAAUUGGAGUUCUCAUUCUUGUGAAGAUAUUGCCUUAUUUACCAAGAUCCUUAUUUAUUAUUUAUUA